AGGAGACAUAGCCACAGCGUGGAGACCCACAGCGGUCGUGGAGAGAAGUCAGGCUGCGUGUGCCGUUGGCCCUCACCGAGACAUUUGCAGAGAAUACUCCUCUCUCCUCUUUGGUGUCUAGGCCUCUGCAGUUUUCCUGUAGGUUCUCUUUCGUUACAGUAAACAUGAGCUCCAAAGGUCACCUCCCUAACUCUUAACACAUUGUCCCUUCCUGUUUCAGGCCUUGAAUAUUAUUAGGAAAUUCCUUAGAACCUUUCUUCCUGACAGAGUGCGUCUCCAAAUCGCACAGGAUGGAAGAGAUCAUGAUGUAGACCAGAAGACACAAUCUCACAUUGGCGGGACCGCUCACCUUUCUGUGGUCUCACCUGUUCAUUCCGAAGGCAGGAGCAGGGUUCCUAUCAGUGGCUUCAGCUUUCUUCAAUGCUUGCUGUCUAAGUAGCUUACAUCCUUCCAGACAAAAUUCCAUGACUACUUCAUGGACCUGUCAAAGAAUCCUCCCAGGUGUGGAAAGGGAAAUUAUUCAACACUGGUGGAAAGAGUCAAUGACAUCAGAAAAGGUGAGGAAGGCAGCAAAAGAGAUUGGAGAGAUUCUAAUCAGAAAUUCUAAGCUCAGGAAGGCUCCAACACACUACUACUGG